GACGAACGCUGGCGGCGUGCCUAAUACAUGCAAGUCGAACGAGAUCCAUGGGAGCUUGCUCCCGGAAGAUCUAGUGGCGAACGGGUGAGUAACACGUGAGAAACCUGCCCUGGAGUCGGGGAAUAACUCGGGGGAAACUCGAGCUAAUACCGCAUACCCUCGGAUGGUCGCAUGGCCGACCGAGGAAAAGAUUUUAAUCGCUCUAGGAGGGUCUCGCGGCCUAUCAGCUAGUUGUGGGGUAACGCCUACCAAGGCAAACGACGGGUAGCUGGUUUGAGAGAACGAUCAGCCACACUGGGACUGAGACACGGCCCAGACUCCUACGGGAGCAGCAGUGGGAAUCUUGCGCAAUGGGCGAAAGCCUGACGCAGC
rnacentral:rRNA from 1 species